rnacentral:tRNA from 1 species
AGAUGUGUUGAUAUCGAAUAAAAGCCGCUAACUUAUUAUUCAAGUGGUUAAAAUCCAUUUACAUCUU